CCUACGGGUGGCAGCAGUGAGGAAUAUUGGUCAAUGGGCGAAACCCUGACCCAGCAACGCCGCGUGAGGGAAGACGGUUUUCGGAUUGUAAACCUCUGUCCUCUGGGAAGAUGAUGACGUUAGCUGAGGAGGAAGCACCGGCUAACUACGUGCCAGCAGCCGCGGUAUUACGUAGGGAGCGAGCGCGGUCCGGAUUUACUGGGUGUAAAGGGUGCGUAGGCGGCUUUGCAAGUCAGAAGUGAAAUCCAUGGGCUUAACCCAGGAACUGCUUUUGAAACUGCAGAGCUUGAGUGGGGUAGAGGUAGGUGGAAUUCCCGGUGUAGCGGUGAAAUGCGUAGAGAUCGGGAGGAACACCAGUGGCGAAGGCGGCCUGCUGGGCUCUAACUGACGCUGAGGAGCGAAAGCGUGGGUAGCAAACAGGAUUAGAUACCCGGGUAGUC
rnacentral:rRNA from 1 species